CACCUUCAGCAAACAUCUCGACAACUCCAUCAACUUCGCGACCCGACCCGACCCGUCUCCAACAACCCGAUCCAGCGAAACCAACCCAUUCUCAACCCAAAAUUUGGCGAAAACCAGGUUCCCAACGUCGACCUGACUUCGACCCGCCUAGAUGGCGUGUGUUUGCUACGAAAAUUCGAGAAAGCUUCUAGAAAUGGGUGAUUUGGCUCACCCCAACAUUCAAAUCUCGGGUUCUAUGGUAUGAAUUCGUACAUAGAUGGGGAAUUUUCAUUGGCUUUGGAAGAUUAUUCUCCUUCCUCCAUUUUCUAUUGGUUAGCUUUUGAAAUUAGCAACGGAUUUGGUAGGUUUUGGGGAGGGAAUUCCUUGUCUUGAGGGGAUUCCAUUGUUUGUUGAGCUUCCCAAAAUACCCCUAAUUCGGCUUUCUAUAUAAGAAACCAUUGGUUCUCUGUAAGGAGGGGAUUGAGAAAAAUUAGACUGGAAAACUUUUUUUUUCACAAGGAGAAACAAAACUAUAGAAACAGUAUCAAGCAGGGGAGGGAAAAAACAAAUCCGAGAGGUUUGAAAAACUUUCGAAAAAAGAAAAAAUAGCUUUUGUAGUAUAAAUUCUGUCGUUUAAGAAGAGAGUUUUAGAAGUCACGGAAAAUUCCUCCGGUGGUAAUUAAGAUUCCAUCAAAGUUCGAGUCCCUUUUUGCUGCUCCCUAACAGGUUAUUUUAAUAGUCAUUUCAUGAUUCGGAUAAUUUUUCAAUCAACACUCCAGCAGUAAAUUUUUCUGGUAAA